UGCCAGCAGCCGCGGUAAUACGGAGGGUGCAAGCGUUAAUCGGAAUUACUGGGCGUAAAGCGUACGUAGGCGGUCAAUUAAGUCGGAUGUGAAAGCCCGGGGCUCAACCCCGGACGUGCAUUUGAAACAGUAAGACUUGAGUACGGGAGAGGAGAGAGGAAUUCCUGGUGUAGAGGUGAAAUCCGUAGAUAUUCGGAGGAACACCAGUGGCGAAGGCGGCUUUCUGGACCGAUACUGACGCUGAGACGCGAAAGCGUGGGGAGCAAACAGGAUUAGAUA
rnacentral:rRNA from 1 species